rnacentral:rRNA from 1 species
UACAGAGGGUGCAAGCGUUGUUCGGAAUUAUUGGGCGUAAAGCGCGUGUAGGCGGCUUUGCAAGUCGGGUGUGAAAGCCCUCGGCUCAACCGAGGAAGUGCGCCCGAAACUGCAGAGCUUGAGUACCGGAGAGGAUGGCGGAAUUCCCCAAGUAGAGGUGAAAUUCGUAGAUAUGGGGAGGAACACCGGUGGCGAAGGCGGCCAUCUGGACGGAUACUGACACUGAGACGCGAAAGCGUGGGGAGCAAACAGG